rfam:Drechmeria coniospora strain ARSEF 6962 chromosome 02, whole genome shotgun sequence.
GCUUCCUUAGCUCAGUUGGUUAGAGCUUCGUACUAAUAGCACAUUAGUAAUGCGGAGGUCACAGGUUCGAUCCCUGUAGGGAGCA